GGGUGGUAAUGCCGGAUGCUCCAGUUGGAUGCAUGUCCUUCUGGGAAAGAUUCUAUCGGUAUGGGAUGGGGUCGCGUCCUAUCAGGUAGUCGGCGGGGUAACGGCCCACCGAGCCUACGACGGGUAGCCGGCCUGAGAGGGCGACCGGCCACAUUGGGACUGAGAUACGGCCCAGACUCCUACGGGAGGCAGCAGUGGGGAAUAUUGCACAAUGGGCGCAAGCCUGAUGCAGCGACGCCGCGUGCGGGAUGACGGCCUUCGGGUUGUAAACCGCUUUUGACUGGGAGCAAGCCCUUCGGGGUGAGUGUACCUUUCGAAUAAGCACCGGCUAACUACGUGCCAGCAGCCGCGGUAAUACGUAGGGUGCAAGCGUUAUCCGGAAUUAUUGGGCGUAAAGGGCUCGUAGGCGGUUCGUCGCGUCCGGUGUGAAAGUCCAUCGCUUAACGGUGGAUCCGCGCCGGGUACGGGCGGGCUUGAGUGCGGUAGGGGAGACUGGAAUUCCCGGUGUAACGGUGGAAUGUGUAGAUAUCGG
rnacentral:rRNA from 1 species